CAGCCUGUCUCUGGCCAUGUCCAUCCAUUUGUUAAUCACAAAGCUCAAAACAUCCAAGACAGGUUUCUUGAACACAACACAAACAAAUUGUCAUAUUUGUCUAAUAUUGAACUAAUAUUGAAUUGCAACUGAAGCAAGCAGCAAUAUCUAUCAGCACAGUUUAAAAUAUUUCCAAAACUUUUCUGAUGCCUUAUAAGCAGUAUCAGUGAGUCUUACAGUUAUCCUGCUAUAUGAAUUUGUUAUAAAUUCGACGCAUAUAAGCGAUAUGGUAAAAGUGCCUUCAUUGUGAGGAACUCCCAGCCUGCAUGAAUCGAACUAAUUGCUGCCAUGGUAACCAGCUUACUAUUGAAGCUAGAUCCUCUUUAGCUGCUGUGACCAGGUAUCUAGCAAAGAUUUCAUGUGCUGCAGGGUGAGGAAUACGCCAGCUCAAUGGAUGUCAUGGAGGAAAACAUGUCACCAAAGAAGAUGCUUGAGAAAAUUGCAGAGCUGGAAUACAGUCAGAGUCUGCUGAGAGAUCAAAAUGCUGACAUGAGGAAAUUGCUGGAUGCCGCAGAUGAUGACAUGGCAGCGCUGGGCUCAGAGAAUAAGUCCCUCAGAAAAGUAGUUGAAACCAUGGAGAACUUUUUCCAAGACUUGCAACAGACUGAAGCAGAGCCUUGCAUAGCUCUGGCAGAUGACUUCGAGGCACAUAGAUGGAAUGUAGAAAAGAUCCAUGAAUUGGAGAAGGAAUCCACCGUAAUGAAGGAACAAUAUGAGAAACUAACUGCAAAGCUCAAAAGCCUCCAGAAAGAGAUAGACCAGGACAAGCUCACUUUGAGCAACCUGAAGUUUGAAAUUCAGGGCUUGAAGUUUCAAAGGGAAGAGGACCAGUCAAAACUGGAGCACAAGGAUGAGGUUAUUCAUCAGGCAAACUUGCAGUUGAAGCAAUUACAUGAAACUGUGGAAGAGUGCUUCAACAACAUAAAGGACCUCAGGCAGACAACGCAGGAGCUGAGUAAGCAGAUGGAGGACAGACGAGAUGAGGCCACAUUUGACCUGAUGAGAGAGAAGGAACGAGUGCCCGACCGCCCUCUGUCCUUUGCAGAGGAAAUUAAACUGCUGGCCUCAACAGCUGAAGUGAAUGACGGCAUGACAAACUCCACAAAUCUUGGAAAUUGUCUACAGGAGGAACCUGAGACUGAGGAGCUGCUGAAACCUCAUCUUCUCACAGUUAACCUUCAAUCUAAAAGCUGCCCAGGUACUUUGGAGGCAGCGAUCUGGAGAGUAGGUUUCUUUAUGCUGUGCAUCUUCAUUCUCAUGAUUUUAGCCAUUGUGGCUUCAGGAUGCUUUGUAGGAACAUCUGACUUCUCUUCCAUCACCACUUUGUGGGCUAGCGCCCACCUGAUGUUACAGCCCUACUUGAGUGUACAGUAUGGGGCCUUGCCUCCCAUUUGAGCUUAACUCUCUCUCUCUGGUCUGUUCUUGUAUUUCUGUUCUUGUAUUUUUUGUAAACAUGAGUUCAGAAAACAAACAAAUAAAACUUCAGCCUCAGGGUCUUGCAUGAGCUUGCUGACUGUCUGUUACACUGUUUUGACAGAAACUUCUAGAUUCUAAACCAGCAGCAUUUAGAAGCUGUGCUGAUCAAUAAAAUCAUAUGAGCAAAAGCAAGUAUCUUAACUACA
ensembl:lncRNA